UCCGUAGGUGAACCUGCGGAGGGAUCAUUACCGAGUUAUACAACUCAUCAACCCUGUGAACAUACCUAAAACGUUGCUUCGGCGGGAACAGACGGCCCUGUAACAACGGGCCGCCCCCGCCAGCGGACCCCUAACUCUGUUUUUAUAAUGUUUUUCUGAGUAAACAAGCAAAUAAAUUAAAACUUUCAACAACGGAUCUCUUGGCUCUAGCAUCGAUGAAGAACGCAGCGAAAUGCGAUAAGUAAUGUGAAUUGCAGAAUUCAGUGAAUCAUCGAAUCUUUGAACGCACAUUGCGCCCGCCAGUAUUCUGGCGGGCAUGCCUGUUCGAGCGUCAUUACAACCCUCAGGCCCCCGGGCCUGGCGUUGGGGAUCGGCGGAAGCCCCCUGUGGGCACACGCCGUCCCUCAAAUACAGUGGCGGUCCCGCCGCAGCUUCCAUUGCGUAGUAGCUAACACCUCGCAACUGGAGAGCGGCGCGGCCAUGCCGUAAAACACCCAACUUCUGAAUGUUGACCUCGAAUCAGGUAGGAAUACCCGCUGAACUUAAGCAUAUCAAUAAGCGGAGGA
rnacentral:rRNA from 1 species